UUGGGCUAUGGACUUAUUGAAGACAACUGUAUGGAGAUAAACAGAAACACAGAGGUGCUAUACAUUCUGAUGGAAAAGACAACAAAAGCAUCUCCCAUCAUUUUGGCGUGGCUCAGAUCAAGAGGAGAAAUUUAAAAAAGGUGAUGGUUGGGCACACACAAGAAGACAUAGAUCACAGGCGUAUAGCAUAUGAGUAGACAGGAGUUUCACACUCUGCCAGACUUACUUCCUCAGACAGCAGAUUUAGGCUUCUCAAGAUCACGCACUGCACACUAAGACAUAGUCUUUGACUACAACAAGGCCUUAGGGGAUGAAAGUACAGAGAGGUCCAAUUGAAAUCAAUUCUGUGCUGCGUCAUUUCUUCAUUCUAGAGGUUGAUGGACAUGAUUUAUGGCAUCAAGUGUGCAGUUUGUCAACUAACUAUCAACACAGCAGUCUUGUUCACCAGCUGCGCAACCACUGUAUAAGAGGAGGGAAGGUGCAGACUCAUCAAAAAGUCUCAAGGUUGAAACUAGGAAGAGAAGUUUGUCAAGAGUGUGAAUAUUUGCUUUGAAAACUAUUGUUACAAUGAUUUGGUUUCCUUUGAAACUUGAUACAUACUAUGUGUAUGUUGAAUGAAUUGAGAUGCUUAAAUAAAGAACCACUAUUCAAAUAUCAGGAAACUGCAUUUUUCAUACUAAAUUGGUAAAUGAU